UUCGAUGGGAUUUUAAACACACUAGUCCCCUGUUGUUGCCAUGGUAACCGGUUUGGGCCCUGACGGGUGACAGAAGGGUACCGCACAGUCCUGGUUCCUGUUUGAACAAACACGUGCGCCGAGUUUCCGCCUUGCGGCGGGAGGAGAGGAGGCUGGAAUCUCCACGCUUCCACAGCAAGGGCAAUCUUUAAAGGCAGUAAGGUGUGACGGCCCAGACUGGCAGCUUGGCAAGACAGAGCCCGUGGAUACCAGCACACAGGAAUCUGGACGGUUAAGCCCUCUCCUGUGACUCUUCUGCAACUUUUGGUCUGAGAAGAUAUGUAGGAAAAAGACCCUAAAGUAUCUCUUUAAUCCUGUUUCAUCAAACAUAAACCUGU
rnacentral:lncRNA from 1 species